GCUUGCUUGAAUGUACAUAUACCAGAGUUUAAAGUGAUACAGAGAUUAGCGUGGGCCCUGCACAAGAAUGACAUGCAAAUUCAUGAAGCAUUCCAUAUGUUU
rnacentral:snRNA from 2 species